CCCUUAGAUGUUCUGGGCCGCACGCGUGCUACACUGAGUAAAUCAAUGGGUAAGGGAACACGAAAGUGCAACCUAAUCUUCAAAUUUGCUCGUGAUGGGGAUCGACGGUUGCAAUUUUCCGUCGUGAACGAGGAAUACCUUGUAGGCGCGUGUCAUCAUCACGCGCCGAAUACGUCCCUGCCCUUUGUACACACCGCCCGUCGCUCCUACCGAUUGAGUGAUCCGGUGAGGCUCUGGGACCUGGACGGAAAGAGCGUUUCGCUUGUUCUGUUUGGGAAACUUGGUCGAACCUUAUCAUUUAGAGGAGGGAGAAGUCGUAACA
rnacentral:rRNA from 1 species